AUGGUAGAUGGGUCAUGGGAGAUGGGGCCACUCGACUCAGCCAAGGCAUCGGAGGACCAAAUCUGGACCGGUGGGUGUGCCUCCUCCGCCCCUUCUCUCGUUGCUCUGCUUUCCCCGUCAUUCCUUCUGGCUUCUCGCCUCUUCACACUCCGCUCCUCUUCCUGGCGGCAGAAGCAGUUCACCAGCACGGGCGACAGAGAGAUUGGACGAGGAAGCCGAGCCGUUCGCGAGGCUAUCGACUCGCCCUUCGCUCGUGGGGCAGAGAAUAACCAGGAGGUGGAGCGGUCCACGGCGUCGUCGCCCUCGCCUUCGAGCCAUCCAUGA
rnacentral:rRNA from 1 species